UUUUGAAAAAUUUACUUCAGAAAGAGACUCUUAUCAGAAAUGCUACCGAAGGGGAGCUAAAUCGUCUGAAAACUCAAAUGAAAGAACUGAAAGAUCGGGAGGCAUCAAGAGAAUCACAUAUCUUAAAACUUCGUAAGAUGUUGGAAGAUGAGGCACAGCAGAAGGAGAAUCUCAAAAGAGAAAUAACCAGAUUGCAAAGUCAACUGCUGCAAUUAGGUUUUAAUGUUGGAAAAAAAACACAAAAAAUUCGUCGAGUUCGAUCUGAGAAAGUUGCUGGUGGUUUAGAUUAUUCUCCCUCUUUCCUGGUUAAACAUCAACAGCAAGCUUCAGGAAAUGGAGAGGAG
rnacentral:sRNA from 1 species